rnacentral:rRNA from 1 species
GGAUGUGAUGGGGAGCGAAAUUUAGUAGCGAAGUAGCUGAUUUCACACUGUCAAGAAAAGUCUCUAUCGAGGUUAAAGGUACCCGUACCGCAAACCGACACAGGUGGGUGAGGAGAGUAUCCUAAGGCCAGCGAGAGAACUGUUGUUAAGGAACUCGGCAAAAUGACCCCGUAACUUAGGGAUAAGGGGUGCCACCAUCAGGUGGCCGCAGAGAAUAGGCCCAAGCGACUGUUUACCAAAAACAUAGGUUUCUGCUAAGUCGCAAGACGAUGUAUAGGAGCUGACGCCUGCCCGGUGCUGGAAGGUUAAGGGGAUCUGUUAGAGCAAUCGAAGCAGUGAACUUAAGCCCCAGUAAACGGCGGCCGUAACUAUAACGGUCCUAAGGUAGCGAAAUUCCUUGUCGGGUAAGUUCCGACCCGCACGAAAGGCGUAACGAUUUGGGCACUGUCUCAACAACAGACUCGGUGAAAUUGUAAUUCCGGUGAAGAUGCCGGAUACCUGCGACAGGACGGAAAGACCCCAUGGAGCUUUACUGUAGCUUGACAUUGGGUCUUGGUACUACAUGUACAGGAUAGGUGGGAGGCUUUGAAACCA